rnacentral:tRNA from 1 species
GCCCGGGUGGCGGAAUUGGCAGACGCGCAGUCUUGAGGAGGCUGUAUCGCAAGAUGUGGAGGUUCAAGUCCUCUCCCGGGCACCA